rnacentral:rRNA from 1 species
CAGGAUGAACGCUAGCUACAGGCUAACACAUGCAAGUCGAGGGGCAGCAUUGGGAUAGCUGCUAUCCAGAUGGCGACCGGCGCACGGGUGAGUAACGCGUAUCCAACCUUCCCUAUAGUAGAGAAUAGCCCGGCGAAAGUCGGAUUAAUGCUCUAUGUUGUGUUUUGAGGACAUCUGACGAACACCAAAGGUUCACCGCUAUAGGAUGGGGAUGCGUCUGAUUAGCUUGUUGGCGGGGUAACGGCCCACCAAGGCGACGAUCAGUAGGGGUUCUGAGAGGAAGGUCCCCCCACAUUGGUACUGAGACACGGACCAAACUCCUACGGGAGGCAGCAGUGAGGAAUAUUGGUCAAUGGACGAAAGUCUGAACCAGCCAAGUAGCGUGCAGGAUGACUGCCCUAUGGGUUGUAAACUGCUUUUAGUAGGGGAAUAAAGUGAGGUACGCGUACCUUUUUGUAUGUACCCUAUGAAUAAGGACCGGCUAAUUCCGUGCCAGCAGCUGC